UUAUAGGCUUACAGAGAGAUUGUACAUGAAGGUGCUAACAGUUAGUUCUUGAUAAGGGUAUGUUCAGUUAUAGGCUUACAGAGAGAUUGUACAUGAAGGUGCUAACAGUUAGUUCUUGAUAAGGGUAUGUUCAGUUAUAGGCUUACAGAGAGAUUGUACAUGAAGGUGCUAACAGUUAGUUCUUGAUAAGGGUAUGUUCAGUUAUAGGCUUACAGAGAGAUUGUACAUGAAGGUGCUAACAGUUAGUUCUUGAUAAGGGUAUGUUCAGUUAUAGG